UAUUAUGAUCGCGUGCCGCCGGGUGCCGAACCCAAAGCAACUCUACUCUACUAAGAAAAGGAAACGGAGCCGACCUUAAGACCUAGGAAAAGGGAACCAAAGUCUUGGACUGCUAGAACCGCCGCGCGUGGUGCCCCAACAGGGCCCGCUACCGCAGGGCCCGCCGCCGGAACAUCAGCAUCGACGUGGGCACGGCCAGGCUCAUGGCCACGAGCGGCGUCUUGUACAGCGGCGUGGCCGUGGCCUUGGGGCAGUCGGGGUGCGCGAAGGCCGUCGACCUCGUGGCCAAGUGGCUGCAGGAGCGGCCUCGUUCCAGUUGCCGCUCGAGCUGGAGGUGGCCGCGGCCGGAGCCGGACAGCUGCUGCCCCCAGCUGUGCCUGUGCGGGCCAUCUCUUCUCCUCCUCCUCCUUCUGCCGCUGCACCUCCGGCCAGGCCGGUUCUUCGUCAAGACCGUCUCCAACACGCACCGGCCCAACGGCCCCUUCGGCGUCGACAACCGCGUCUCGCACUAGAGGCCGCGGGCGUCGAGGCACCCGAGGAGGACGAACACUAGCGCAACGCGGUACCAUACAGCUUGUGCGUGCGCCACCGACCAACCAAACGACGGCCGGCCCUCCGGCUACGCUCCUCUCCUCUCCGCUCCGGCUCCUCUCCCCUUAACCUACCCGC
rnacentral:rRNA from 1 species